AUCUUGUUGGGUCCUUCCCAGUUUGGGGACAGUUUCUCUUAAUCCUGAGGCUUCGAGACUUCCGCCUUCCUCAAAAUCAGGUCUCCGGGUCUGAAAAAUUUUGGCCUAACUUUAGCAUUGUAGUAUCGGGCCACUCUUUGUUGGUAGGAAGCCAUGCGGAGUUGAGCCUCGCGUUGGAGCUCGAACAGGAGGUCCAAGUCAGCUCUCCGAUACUCAGAG
rnacentral:lncRNA from 1 species